GACGAACGCUGGCGGCGUGCCUAAUACAUGCAAGUAGAACGCUGAAGGAAGGAGCUUGCUCUUUCCGGAUGAGUUGCGAACGGGUGAGUAACGCGUAGGUAACCUGCCUGGUAGCGGGGGAUAACUAUUGGAAACGAUAGCUAAUACCGCAUAAGAGUAGAUGUCGCAUGACAUUUGCUUAAAAGGUGCAAUUGCAUCACUACCAGAUGGACCUGCGUUGUAUUAGCUAGUUGGUGGGGUAACGGCUCACCAAGGCGACGAUACAUAGCCGACCUGAGAGGGUGAUCGGCCACACUGGGACUGAGACACGGCCCGGACUCCUACGGGAGGCAGCAGUAGGGAAUCUUCGGCAAUGGACGGAAGUCUGACCGAGCAACGCCGCGUGAGUGAAGAAGGUUUUCGGAUCGUAAAGCUCUGUUGUAAGAGAAGAACGAGUGUGAGAG
rnacentral:rRNA from 1 species